GGGAUUUUACCCUUGUACUGUUUAAACAGCAGAAAGCUAGACUAAAGAUUCUAAAAAAUUGAUUAUAGAAAUGCCUGUAUAUUAACAAUGAAAUGCUGAACAAAAAUGUUUAAUAUUAUUCUACAGGUUGUGAUGUGAACCUUUGCCCUAUUCCCACAAUACAAUGCCCAUUGGGCUUUAUACCAUCCUUCAGCGUGUCUCCAGAUAACUGCUGUCCAGAGUUUAUUUGCUGUAUGUAUAUGGACCAGUUGUUCUCAGUAAAGAUACUUUAUUGUUUUGAUGCUGUGCAAUGCACUCAUUCAUUUUUUUAUUCUUUACAGCACCCAUGGAAGUCUGUGUCCAUAAUACCACAGUGUAUCAGGUAAAAUGAGAUAUANCUAUCUUCGUCUCUAGCCUGGCUCAACUAUACCAAGCGAUGAUCCUUGUAAACUUUGUCAGUGUGGUUGGAACGUAGAUCCUGAAACAAAUCUUCUUGCUCCAGAGUGUGUGAUAGCUGACUGCAACGAUAACUGUCCAGAGGGUCACGAGUACCAACUCAUUCCUGGUCAGUGCUGUGGAGAGUGUGUUAGCACCGAUUGUGUGGUUAUGCAUGACAACAUCACAGUUACCGUUCCAGUUGACCAGAUUUGGCAACCAGCUAAUGACAAAUGUGUGAAUUACAAGUGUGAGAGAGUCGAUGGUAACUCAAUGACAGUUGAGAUUAAGACCACUUGCCCUGCCUUCAAUCCUGAGAAUUGUAUCCCUGUAAGUGGCUUGAAAGAGACUAUUUUAGACAACUUAAUAUCUUAAAUUUAAGUCCGUUCAAUUGUUAAUGCUUUUCCUUUUUCUACAGGGAACAGAGACAAUAGAUGCAGAUGGCUGCUGUCAAACCUGUGAGUCUGGAACAUUUAAAAAGCACUACUCAAUAAUUGCAAAAUAUGUUAAUGAGAGUUAAAUAUUACUC
ensembl:lncRNA